AUACGUAGGGGGCGAGCGUUGUCCGGAAUGAUUGGGCGUAAAGGGCGCGUAGGCGGCCCGGUAAGUCUGGAGUGAAAGUCCUGUUUUUAAGAUGGGAAUUGCUUUGGAUACUGUCGGGCUUGAGUGCAGGAGAGGUAAGUGGAAUUCCCAGUGUAGCGGUGAAAUGCGUAGAGAUUGGGAGGAACACCAGUGGCGAAGGCGACUUACUGGACUGUAACUGACGCUGAGGCGCGAAAGUGUGGGGAGCAAACAGGAUUAGAUACCCUGGUAGUCCACACUGUAAACGAUGAAUGCUAGGUGUAGGGGGUAUCGACCCCUUCUGUGCCGCAGUCAACACAAUAAGCAUUCCGCCUGGGGAGUACGGCCGCAAGGUUGAAACUCAAAUGAAUU
rnacentral:rRNA from 1 species